rnacentral:rRNA from 1 species
GACGAACGCUGGCGGCGUGCCUAAUACAUGCAAGUCGAACGCAGUGGGGACGGGUGAGUAACACGUGGGUAACCUCCCAUCAGAGGGGAUAACACUUGGAAACAGGUGCUAAACCGAUACUGAUGGAUGGACCCGCGGUGCAUUAGCUCGUUGUGAGGUAACGGCUCACCCAGGCCACGAUGCAUAGCCGAUCUGAGAGGGUGAUCGGCCACACUGGGACUGAGAAACGGCCCAGACUCCUACGGGAGGCAGCAGUAGGGAAUCUUGGGCAAUGGACGAAAGUCUGACCGAGCAACGCCGCGUGAGUGAAGAAGGCUUUAGGAUCGUAAAACUCUGUUGUUAGAGAAGCGGUAUCUAAACAGAAAGCAACGGCUAACUACGUGCCAGCAGCCGCGGUAAUAC